rnacentral:rRNA from 1 species
CGUAACAAGGUCUCCGUUGGUGAACCAGCGGAGGGAUCAUUACCGAGUUUACAACUCCCAAACCCCUGUGAACAUACCACUUGUUGCCUCGGCGGAUCAGCCCGCUCCCGGUAAAACGGGACGGCCCGCCAGAGGACCCCUAAACUCUGUUUCUAUAUGUAACUUCUGAGUAAAACCAUAAAUAAAUCAAAACUUUCAACAACGGAUCUCUUGGUUCUGGCAUCGAUGAAGAACGCAGCAAAAUGCGAUAAGUAAUGUGAAUUGCAGAAUUCAGUGAAUCAUCGAAUCUUUGAACGCACAUUGCGCCCGCCAGUAUUCUGGCGGGCAUGCCUGUUCGAGCGUCAUUUCAACCCUCAAGCACAGCUUGGUGUUGGGACUCGCGUUAAUUCGCGUUCCCCAAAUUGAUUGGCGGUCACGUCGAGCUUCCAUAGCGUAGUAGUAAAACCCUCGUUACUGGUAAUCGUCGCGGCCACGCCGUUAAACCCCAACUUCUGAAUGUUGACCUCGGAUCAGGUAGGAAUACCCGCUGAACUUAAGCAUAUCAAUACG